UCUUUUGAUAAACGUUGAGAGCUGCCAUGUCUUUCUCUUCAUGAUGGCCGAUACUCCUUUGGCUUUCAUCUUGGACGACAAGAUGAUAUGCACGUCGCAAUGAAGGUGCCUCCGCAAAGGUGAGUAUAUAGGUUCUGAAAGCAACAAACCCUUCAUUCAGCCCCAUCAGAAAAUGCGUCAACCUCUCCCGUUCCUUUGCGUGUUGAACCUGUCUGAGAACCUCCGGUGGUGCAAUGAUCGACUCUUCAACGGCAUCCAAUUCUUUCCAGGCGGCGGAAAGUUUAUUGAAGUAGUUCGUGACACUCUGAUUUUCUUGUCGGAUCUCCGCAAGAGUCUGCCGAACAAUGUAGAUCUUUGCAAGAUCUAAAGCUCCAUACAUGUCUUUGAUGAAUCCCCAUAGCUUGCCAGCGUCUUUUGUAGGUGGUAAACCGACUGUAAUUUCUUCAAUCAAACAGUUGUUGAUCCAGGCUCGGACAAAGGUAUUACAUCGUACCCAAAAACGGGCAAGAUCGGGUUCUGAUGGCAUGGGUACAGUGCCAUCGAUGAAUCCAAUCUUGUCCUUUGCAAUGAGCGCUCUUCUGAAAUCUCUAGCCCACUGUGCAUAAUUCUCGGCUCCGGUCAGCGUUUGUUUUAUCAAAACGAGUUCUGGUCCAUCCGAUGAUGAGGCAUAAAGGACAUCUCCAGGCUCCGGUUUAUUUUUGUUUGUAUGAACCAGCUGAAACGCUGGCAUUUGUGAUGUUUCAGUAGUGGAUUCAGGAGAUACAGGAUCGACAGACGUUGCUUUGAUUGGCUCCAUCUAAUCCGGUUUUUCUUUCUGCAGGUUAAUGGAAGGCAAGAUUGGACAAAAGAUUAAGGAAGGAGCAAUUCAGAACCUUGCUCUGAUACCAUGCCAAAAUCUAAGAGAGCAGAGUUGGUUCAAUACGACGAACCACAGAAGCUCAAGAAAAGGAUGUUGCAUGAUUUCUGGGAUAUGAUUUGCAUGAUUUCCAAGGAUGUGGAUGUGAUUCUGAUUUCCAAUAAAUGGCACGAAGGACGUUAAAAGCACGAUGUCGUUUUGGAUUAUGUAGUGCAUGAAUGAGUUGGUUAUGGUAUUAUUGGAAUUACGUAUAUUGUAUAGUAUGUGUAAUUGAUCCGGUGUCGUUUUAGACAUGUAAUACUCUACCUUUUGGCUUGUAUUAAUAAAAGAAUAAGAGCAGGAAAAGAAGGCAAGCAGUUAUUGAUUCUUGAAUUCUGUUAUUGUUCUGA